ACUCCUACGGGAGGCAGCAGUGGGGAAUAUUGCACAAUGGGCGCAAGCCUGAUGCAGCCAUGCCGCGUGUGUGAAGAAGGCCUUCGGGUUGUAAAGCACUUUCAGUCGUGAGGAAGGUAGUGUAGUUAAUAGCUGCAUUAUUUGACGUUAGCGGAACAGAGAAGCGACCGCUAACUCCGUGCCAGCAGCCGCGGUAAUACGGAGGGUGCGAGCGUUAAUCGGAAUUACUGGGCGUAAAGCGCAUGCAGGUGGUUUGUUAAGUCAGAUGUGAAAGCCCGGGGCUCAACCUCGGAAUUGCAUUUGAAACUGGCAGGCUAGAGUACUGUAGAGGGGGGUAGAAUUUCAGGUGUAGCGGUGAAAUGCGUAGAGAUCUGAAGGAAUACCGGUGGCGAAGGCGGCCCCCUGGACAGAUACUGACACUCAGAUGCGAAAGCGUGGGGAGCAAACAGGAUUAGAUACCCUGGUAGCUACGAGU
rnacentral:rRNA from 1 species